rnacentral:rRNA from 1 species
AGAGUUUGAUCCUGGCUCAGGACGAACGCCGGCGGCGUGCCUAAUACAUGCAAGUCGAGCGAAUUUGCUUGGAAGCUUGCUUCUGAGUAAAUUAGCGGCGGACGGGUGAGUAACACGUGGGCAACCUGCCCGUAAGAUCGGGAUAACUCCGGGAAACCGGGGCUAAUACCGGAUAGGUUUUUCCCUCACAUGAGGGAAAAAGGAAAGUUGGCUUUUGGCUAACACUUACGGAUGGGCCCGCGGCGCAUUAGCUAGUUGGUAGGGUAACGGCCUACCAAGGCAACGAUGCGUAGCCGACCUGAGAGGGUGAUCGGCCACACUGGGACUGAGACACGGCCCAUACUCCUACGGGAGGCUGCAGUAGGGAAUCUUCCACAAUGGACGCAAGUCUGAUGGAGCAACGCCGCGUGAGUGAUGAAGGUUUUCGGAUCGUAAAGCUCUGUCUUUGGGGAAGAUAAUGACGGUACCCAAGGAGGAAGCCACGGCUAACUACGUGCCAGCAGCCGCGGUAAUACGUAGGUGGCGAGCGUUAUCCGGAUUUACUGGGCGUAAAGGGAGCGUAGGCGGAUCAUUAAGUGGGAUGUGAAAUACCCGGGCUCAACUUGGGUGCUGCAUUCCAAACUGGUUAUCUAGAGUGCAGGAGAGGAUCGUGGAAUUCCAUGUGUAGCGGUGAAAUGCGUAGAUAUUAGGAAGAACACCAGUGGCGAAGGCGACUUUCUGGACUGUAACUGACGCUGAGGCUCGAAAGCAUGGGUAGCGAACAGGAUUAGAUACCCCGGUAGUCCUGGCCGUAAACGAUGGGUACUAGGUGUAGGAGGUAUCGACCCCUUCUGUGCCGCAGCUAACGCAUUAAGCAUUCCGCCUGGGGAGUACGACCGCAAGGUUGAAACUCAAAGGAAUUGACGGGGGCCCGCACAAGCGGUGGAGCAUGUGGUUUAAUUCGAAGCAACGCGAAGAACCUUACCUAGACUUGACAUCUCCUGAAUUACCAUGUAAUGUGGGAGUCCUUUCGGACAGGAAGACAGGUGGUGCAUGGUUGUCGUCAGCUCGUGUCGUGAGAUGUUGGGUUAAGUCCCGCAACGAGCGCAACCCCUAUUGUUAGUUGCUACCAUUAAGUUGAGCACUCUAGCGAGACUGCCCGGGUGAACCGGGAGGAAGGUGAGGAUGACGUCAAAUCAUUAUGCCCCUUAUGUCUAGGGCUACACACGUGCUACAAUGGCGAGUACAACGAGACGCAAUACCGCGAGGUGGAGCAAAACUCAAAAACUCGUCCCAGUUCGGAUUGCAGGCUGAAACUCGCCUACAUGAAGCUGGAGUUACUAGUAAUCGCGAAUCAGAAUGUCGCGGUGAAUACGUUCCCGGGUCUUGCACUCACCGCCCGUCA